CCUGGCUCAGGACGAACGCUGGCGGCGUGCCUAACACAUGCAAGUCGAGCGGGGACAUACGACGGAGCAGAAGUUUCGGAUGGAAGCGAAGAUGUAUGUUCUAGCGGCGGACGGGUGAGUAACGCGUGAGCAACCUGUCCUUCACAGGGGGAUAACACAGCGAAAGUUGUACUAAUACCGCAUGAGACCACAUUGGGACAUCCCAGAGGGGUCAAAGGAGCAAUCCGGUGAAGGGUGGGCUCGCGUCCGAUUAGAUAGUUGGUGAGGUAACGGCCCACCAAGUCGACGAUCGGUAGCCGACCUGAGAGGGUGAUCGGCCACAUUGGGACUGAGACACGGCCCAAACUCCUACGGGAGGCAGCAGUGGGGAAUAUUGGGCAAAUGGGGGAAACCCUGACCCAGCAACGCCGCGUGAGGGAAGAAGGUUUUCGGAUCGUAAACCUCUGUCCUUGGUGAAGAGUAAGAGACGGUAGCCAAGGAGGAAGCCCCGGCUAACUACGUGCCAGCCGCCGC
rnacentral:rRNA from 1 species